GGGGAAUUUUGCGCAAUGGGCGAAAGCCUGACGCAGCAACGCCGCGUGUGUGAUGAAGGUCUUCGGAUUGUAAAGCACUUUCGACCGGGACGAAACCCUCCUGGCUAACAUCCAGGGGCUUGACGGUACCGGGAGAAGAAGCACCGGCUAACUCUGUGCCAGCAGCCGCGGUAAUACAGAGGGUGCAAGCGUUGUUCGGAAUUAUUGGGCGUAAAGCGCGUGUAGGCGGCCUAGCAAGUCGGGUGUGAAAGCCCUCAGCUCAACUGAGGAAGUGAGCCCGAAACUGCUGGGCUUGAGUGCCGGAGAGGGUGGCGGAAUUCCCCAAGUAGAGGUGAAAUUCGUAGAUAUGGGGAGGAACACCGGUGGCGAAGGCGGCCACCUGGACGGCAACUGACGCUGAGACGCGAAAGCGUGGGGAGCAAAC
rnacentral:rRNA from 1 species